UUUUUUUCGGUUUCCCUUUCUCCACCAAGGUGGAGAUUGUUGGGCCUUAAGGGCCCAUUGGUGGAAAAAGAGAACCUUCCACAUGGGAAGGAGGUUUUGGUUUUAAUACCAAAACGCUACGUUUUGGAAGAUUAGGGUUUUUACCCAAAGCUAGUGACUUCGUCACUUUCAGCAGAGAAGAAAAAGAGGCAAAAAUGAGAGGGAGAGAGGAGAUCGCGGUGAGCACAUGGCGGAGGACGUUUCGGCGGUCCGUCAAGGAAGCUCGGUGGUAGAUCGGUAAGAUCCCGGUACAGGUUUGCAUCCCUUGGCUGUUUCCCCUUCUCUUUUGUUCUCGGUUCUUCUCGGUGAGGCUCCGGAUUGUGGAGAUCCGCCGAGCUUCUGUUCUCCGGUGUUGUUCUUCCGUCUCUAGUGGAUUCGCCGGCACCGUCCGGCCGAGAUGUAGGCCCGAGCUUGCUCGGUAACCGAACUCGUUAAAA